CUUCUAGGGGAUGCUCUAAAUGCAAGGGAGUGAGCUCCUCUUUCGGUCCUUCUCCCUCCUUGCUGCCUAGGUGUGGAGAAGGGUGGCAGGAGCUGAAGCCAUCGCCUUUGACCUGGAGGUGAAAGCUGCCAGUGGAGGAGGUUGCAGCCCUGAGAUCCUUAUUUUUUUCCUUAGCUCCAUGAUAUUACAUAAACCUCAAUUACCUGGCUGCCCUUUGAGUCUUCAGAUCUUCGUGAGGCGCUCAUAUGCAUCAGUUUUGAAGAUGAAUCUGGGAGAGGAAGGCUGGAGUCAGGAUGUCAUUCCCUGGCUACAGAUGCUGCUGAGAGGUCAGGAUGCAAGGCUGGACCUUCUGGUCGUGAAUUUGACAUCAAGGGGGAAGAGAGUCAACAGAAGAGGCAUGUGGAGAUACUGGCUUUGUGAUCCCUGUGACUGAGUCCCUGCAUCUGGUCACAUCUAAAGCUACAUCUUGGGAUCCCUGGGUGGCGCAGCGGUUUGGCGCCUGCCUUUGGCCCAGGGCGCGAUCCUGGAGACCCAGGAUCGAAUCCCACGUAGGGCUCCCGGUGCAUGGAGCCUGCUCUCUUUCUGCCUAUGUCCCUGCCUCUCUUUCUCUCUCUCUC